rnacentral:rRNA from 1 species
GACAGAGGAUGCAAGCGUUAUCCGGAAUGAUUGGGCGUAAAGCGUCUGUAGGUGGCUUUUUAAGUCCGCCGUCAAAUCCCAGGGCUCAACCCUGGACAGGCGGUGGAAACUACCAAGCUGGAGUACGGUAGGGGCAGAGGGAAUUUCCGGUGGAGCGGUGAAAUGCGUAGAGAUCGGAAGGAACACCAGUGGCGAACGCGGCUUCCUGGUCCAGCACCGACGUUCAGGCACGAAAGCAUGGGGAGCAAACAGG